rnacentral:rRNA from 1 species
UGGGGAAUUUUGGACAAUGGGCGAAAGCCUGAUCCAGCAAUGCCGCGUGUGUGAAGAAGGCCUUCGGGUUGUAAAGCACUUUUGUCCGGAAAGAAAUCCUUGGCUCUAAUACAGUCGGGGGAUGACGGUACCGGAAGAAUAAGCACCGGCUAACUACGUGCCAGCAGCCGCGGUAAUACGUAGGGUGCAAGCGUUAAUCGGAAUUACUGGGCGUAAAGCGUGCGCAGGCGGUUUGCUAAGACCGAUGUGAAAUCCCCGGGCUCAACCUGGGAACUGCAUUGGUGACUGGCAGGCUAGAGUAUGGCAGAGGGGGGUAGAUGUCCACGUGUAGCAGUGAAAUGCGUAGAGAUGUGGAGGAAUACCGAUGGCGAAGGCAGCCCCCUGGGCCAAUACUGACGCUCAUGCACGAAAGCGUGGGGAGCAAAACAGGAUUAGAUACCCUGGUAGUCCACGCCCUAAACGAUGUCAACUAGUUGUUGGGGAUUCAUUUCCUUAGUAACGUAGCUAACGCGUGAAGUUGACCGCCUGGGGAGUACGGUCGCAAGAUUAAAACUUAAAUGAAUUGACGGGGUCAUAGCUGUUUCCU